CUGUUUUGUUGAACUUCUCCAUUGUUCACUGAUGGAGACUCCUCCUGACUGACUAUAAGAACCUAGAGUACAAGUCGGCAAGACAUCUGAAUCUCUCAAGCCAGGAUCAGUGCCUUGUUCAUGAUAUGGCUGCGUCACACACACUGAUGAUGAGAACCACAGGAGAGAAUAACAUGGUUUCUUGCAGGUCUGCCCCUACACACCAUCUGAGCCCUGCAAAUGAUCCAGAAUUGAUCCAGCUGGACAAAUGUUGUUCAACCUGUCCAAGUUCUCCAUCACCCCAUUGUUGCGUUCCCUUCACUGGCUUCCUGUAGCUCCUGCAUCAGAUUUAAACACCGAUGUUCACCUACAAAGCAGCUCCCACUUACCUUAAAGCAA
ensembl:lncRNA